UUCUGUCUCUAAGCCAACCACGCAAAACCAACUUCCCGCCAUAACGCCUCAUGGUGGUGGAAAAGUUUCGGCAUUCCUUGGUUGUAUCUAAAGUCUGAUAUUCAGGGAGGUUUGUAGUUAGGAUUUAUUAGUGGUCACGUUUCGUUAUAGUCAGAACCAAAUAAGUGGUUCGGAAAUGGCUGAUCCAGAAAAAGCUCUUGAAACUGUGGAGAAUGUAGAAGAUGUUGAAGAAAUGGAAGAGGAAGAAGAUGAGGGCAAGAAAAACAUGAGUAACCAUUUCUCUUUAUUUGUUUUGUUAUA